UGGGUAAAUGAGUCUGCUGGGGAUGAGGUCAGGGGUGGGCAUGCGCUGACCUCAUCCCCAGCAGACUCAUUUACCCACA